rnacentral:rRNA from 1 species
GAUGAACGCUGACAGAAUGCUUAACACAUGCAAGUACACUGUGGCGGACGGGUGAGUAACGCGUAAAGAACUUGCCUCACAGAUAGGGACAACAUUCGGAAACGAAUGCUAAUACCUGAUACUGUGAGAGAGCUUUGCGUCCCUUUGGCUAGUUGGAGAGGUAACGGCUCACCAAGGCGAUGAAGGGUAGCCGGCCUGAGAGGGUGAUCGGCCACAAGGGGACUGAGACACGGCCCUUACGCCUACGGGAGGCAGCAGUGGGGAAAAUUGGACAAUGGACCAAAGUCUGAUCCAGCAAUUCUGUGUGCACGAUGAAGUUUUCAGAAUGUAAAGUGCUUUCAGUUGGGAAGCAGUACCAACAGAAGAAGGGAGGGCUAAAUACGUGCCAGCAGCCGCGGUAAUAC